AAAAGAAUAAAUCUUUCUUUGUGGAAGUUGAGGAAUCUUCAAGCAGAGAUAGAGGAAGUUUCAGGUGGUGGAUUUCAAGCUUUAAAGAGGAUGUGGAUCACCUGCAGAGCUCGCAAAACGAAGUGAAGUCCUAUUUCUGAUUCAAUAGGUCUGGGGUGGAGCUGGAAACCAAAUAUUUAAUAAGGAAAUUUCAACAAGAACGAAGAAGGAAGCUGUUCGGCUUAAGCCAGAACAUCGCAUGUUGUGGGAGCAGCGGCUCAAGGAGGAGCAGAUGCAGAAGCCCAGGUAGCAGAGUGCAGCUGCCACCCACAGCCAGCCCUGCCUCUGACAGGGGAUACAGCCUGCUGGCGUGAAUGGUCCAUGCCACCAUGCCAUGUGAGGGACAAGGAGACUCCUCCUCAACUGUGAAAAACUCAACACACCACAUUCACAUAUGCGACACACAUUUUAUUUUUGCCUCUAUAAUUUUCCUGUCAUUUUACUUUAUUUUUAUUUGAAUUGUUUAAUUUUGUCACACAAAAUGUGAAAUUAUGUCACCCAAAAGGAAGAAGCAGUGUCUGUCAACAGAUAAAUGGAUAAACAAAAUCUGUUUGUACAUAUACAUUCAAUGUUAUAUUAUUCAGCCUUAAGAAGGAAGGAAAUUCUAACACAUGAUACAACGUGGAUGAACUUUGAGGAUAUUAUGCUAAGUGAAUAAAACAGUCACAAAAGGGCAAAUAUAGUAUGAUUCCACUUAUUCAAGAUAUGCAGAGUAGUUGAAUUCAUACAGACAGAAAGUAGAAUGGUUGUUGCCAGGGUCUGGAAAGAGGGAGGAAUGGGGAAUGUAUUAGUCCAUUUUCACGCUGCUGAUAAAGACAUACCUGAGACUGGGCAAUUUACAAAAGAAAGAGGUUUAUUGGACUUACAGCUCCACAUGGCCAGGGAGGCCUCACAAUCAUGGUGGAAGGCAAGGAGGAGCACAUCACAUCUUACAUGGAGACAGCAGGCAAAGAGAGCUUAUGCAGGGAAACUUCCGCUUUUAAAAACCAUCAGAUCUCAUGAGACUCACUCACUAUCAUGAGAACAGCACAGGGAAGACCCGCCCUCGUGAUUUAAUUAUCCCCCACCGGGUCCCUCCCACAACACGUGAGAAUUAUGGGAGCUACAAGAUGAGAGUUGGGUGGGGACACACAGCCAAACCAUAUCAGGGAGAUAGUGCUUAAUGGAUACAGAGAUUUAGUUUAGGAAGAUGAAAGAAGUUCUGGAGAUGGAUUAUAGUGAUAGUGUACAACAAUGUGAAUGUGCUUUAAUACUACUGAACUGUACACUUAAAAUGGUUAAAAUAGUAAAUUUCACAUUAUAUAUAUUUUACCACAGAAAAAAGG
rnacentral:lncRNA from 10 species